GACGAACGCUGGCGGCGUGCCUAAUACAUGCAAGUCGAACGCUUUUUCUUUCACCGGAGCUUGCUCCACCGAAAGAAAAAGAGUGGCGAACGGGUGAGUAACACGUGGGUAACCUGCCCAUCAGAAGGGGAUAACACUUGGAAACAGGUGCUAAUACCGUAUAACAAGUAAAACCGCAUGGUUUUACUUUGAAAGGCGCUUUUGCGUCACUGAUGGAUGGACCCGCGGUGCAUUAGCUAGUUGGUGAGGUAACGGCUCACCAAGGCAACGAUGCAUAGCCGACCUGAGAGGGUGAUCGGCCACAUUGGGACUGAGACACGGCCCAAACUCCUACGGGAGGCAGCAGUAGGGAAUCUUCGGCAAUGGACGAAAGUCUGACCGAGCAACGCCGCGUGAGUGAAGAAGGUUUUAGGAUCGUAAAACUCUGUUGUUAGAGAAGAACAAGGACGAGAGUAAAAUGUUCAUCCCUUGACGGUAUCUAACCAGAAAGCCACGGCUAACUACGUGCCAGCAGCCGCGGUAAUACGUAGGUGGCAAGCGUUGUCCGGAUUUAUUGGGCGUAAAGCGAGCGCAGGCGGUUUCUUAAGUCUGAUGUGAAAGCCCCCGGCUCAACCGGGGAGGGUCAUUGGAAACUGGGAAACUUGAGUGCAGAAGAGGAGAGUGGAAUUCCAUGUGUAGCGGUGAAAUGCGUAGAUAUAUGGAGGAACACCAGUGGCGAAGGCGGCUCUCUGGUCUGUAACUGACGCUGAGGCUCGAAAGCGUGGGGAGCAAACAGG
rnacentral:rRNA from 1 species